rnacentral:rRNA from 1 species
GAUGAACGCUAGCGGCAGGCUUAAUACAUGCAAGUCGAGGGGCAGCACAGGUAGCAAUACUGGGUGGCGACCGGCAAACGGGUGCGGAACACGUACACAACUUACCUUAGAGUGGGGGAUAGCCCAGGGAAACUUGGAUUAAUACCCCAUAAAACAGGGGGCCCGCAUGGGCAUAUUGUUAAAGAUUUAUCGCUUUAAGAUGGGUGUGCGUAUGAUUAGGUAGUUGGUAGGGUAAAGGCCUACCAAGCCGACGACCAUUAACUGGUGUGAGAGCACGACCAGUCACACGGGCACUGAGACACGGGCCCGACUCCUGCGGGAGGCAGCAGUAAGGAAUAUUGGUCAAUGGACGGAAGUCUGAACCAGCCAUGCCGCGUGAAGGAUGAAGGUCCUCUGGAUUGUAAACUUCUUUUAUAGGGGGCGAAAAAGGGCCAUUCUUGGUCAACUGACGGUACCCUAUGAAUAAGCACCGGCUAACUCCGUGCCAGCCGCCGCGGUAAAAC